rnacentral:lncRNA from 1 species
GGGGUUCGCGCCCAGCCGACUCCGGGGCGGGGUUAGGCUGGGAAGGGGCACCAGGUGGGCACGAGCGGCGGAAGCUCAAAAACGGAAACCAAGCUUCCAGAUUGCUCCCGGCCCUGGGGACCGAGAAGGGAGGUCCGGGAAACCGGGUUGCGCUGUAGUGAGGAGGCGCCGUGUGCCCGCGGCUGGUGACAGACUUCUCUCUAGCCGCAGAGAACGGGGCCCCAGCGCAGGUCCCGGGACCUGAAGCCACAGACCUGCCUCGGGCCCUUUCUGCCUGCCACACCUGGUCUCCCCCCUUCCCGUCGGGCUGUGUCCAGCCGGCUGCCCACCUCGGGCCGGCCCGGCCUCGCCGGCAGGGGCCUGCUGCCGCCCAGCCUCCGCGCCCCGGGCCGCAGGGCCGCCCGGACAAACCGCCGAACUCCUCACCGUCACGCCGCUGACAGGGGCCGCCGACUGACUUUGAAGUCAGAAAAUCAUUAAAGCAGACCUGUAGGGAGAGGAGCCCCGCCCGCCGGAGCCGAGGAGAGCCGCUUCUCCCGAGCGCGCCGCGCGGAGCAGAGCGCAGGGCGAGGUGCCCUCCGCACACCCUCGGCGGCGUCGGGAGGACGCCAACGCUGGGCGCGCGGGGCGCCCGGGACCCCUCUGCGCUGGGCGCGCGGGCCGCAGCCCCCGAGUCCCGGCCUUUUCCGGGCUCCAGGGAGGGCCCGGGCCUCUCUCCUGAGGGUGCGAUUGCUUCCAGGGGACAAAACAAUUUGACCCAAAUGCUUGCCGCGCUCGCCCCACCUCUCCUCUGCUGGGACCGCGGAGACCUGACCAACACGCUGCUUGGGACCGCAGCGGGAGGCGCUGGCGUGGCAGAGGCAGAGUUGUUUGGGUUUUAGUUAGACUUUCUUUUUUAAACCUUGGCAGCCAGUUGGCUCAGGGGCACACUGGGCACAUCUUCUGGGAGCUGCAGGAUCGUUGGCUCCUUUCCACUCUUGGCCUCUCGUGAAGAGCUUCUGCAGCUUUUCACGCGCUUUCCCAGCUUUGGAUCCGACUCCAGAAACCUUUAAUUCCCUUCCAGUUUUCUAGUUUUUCCACUUAAAUAUCAAUUUCCUUAGAACCACUAACUUUCUAGAUAGGAAAGAUCAGCUACUUAGAGUAAAUCAUGCUGAGGUGUGACUGACUGACAUCUGAGACCCCCCCCCCCCAACAUUUGCAUUUUAAGACAGGAUCUAGAUAACCUCCGGGGAUCUCCGGUCAUCUAAAGCAGGGUGAUAUUUCAGUCAGGAGAGGCCUAGGGGACUUUCAUUACAUUGCACCAUCUAGAGAAGCAUCUCCCGCGUGGGCAACCUCUCUGCAGAGAUCCGACAUUGCCAGCGCCCGGAAAACUUGGCGAGCGGUGGCGCCAGGACUGUCCUAGAGGACCGCGGUUUCCUUUGCUCCUCCCCAGCUCAGGCCUUGUCACCAUUGUUCAAGCGGACAAUGCAAUUCAAGUCAUUUGAAUUUGAAUAUCACGUAAUUCACAAGAUUCGCGUUAAGAACUCUCAUCUCUUUAUUUGCUGAGCUGAUUGUGCGUGUGUACGAGGGGGAGAGAGGAAGAAAGA